rnacentral:rRNA from 1 species
GACGAACGCUGGCGGCGUGCUUAACACAUGCAAGUCGAACGGAAAGGCCCUGCGUUUGUGGGGUGCUCGAGUGGCGAACGGGUGAGUAACACGUGAGUAACCUGCCCUUGACUUUGGGAUAACUUCAGGAAACUGGGGCUAAUACCGGAUAGGAGCUCCUGCUGCAUGGUGGGGGUUGGAAAGUUUCGGCGGUUGGGGAUGGACUCGCGGCUUAUCAGCUUGUUGGUGGGGUAGUGGCUUACCAAGGCUUUGACGGGUAGCCGGCCUGAGAGGGUGACCGGCCACAUUGGGACUGAGAUACGGCCCAGACUCCUACGGGAGGCAGCAGUGGGGAAUCUUGCACAAUGGGCGGAAGCCUGAUGCAGCAACGCCGCGUGCGGGAUGACGGCCUUCGGGUUGUAAACCGCUUUCGCCUGUGACGAAGCGUGAGUGACGGUAAUGGGUAAAGAAGCACCGGCUAACUACGUG